rnacentral:rRNA from 1 species
UACGGAGGGUGCAAGCGUUGUUCGGAUUUAUUGGGCGUAAAGCGCGUGUAGGCGGUUUCUUAAGUCUGAUGUGAAAGCCCCGGGCUCAACCCGGGAAGUGCAUUGGAUACUGGGAGACUUGAAUACGGGAGAGGGUAGUGGAAUUCCUAGUGUAGGAGUGAAAUCCGUAGAUAUUAGGAGGAACACCGGUGGCGAAGGCGGCUACCUGGACCGAUACUGACGCUGAGGCGCGAAAGCGUGGGAAGCAAACAGG